GACGAACGCUGGCGGCGUGCUUAACACAUGCAAGUCGAGCGGAGCGGCGAACGGGUGAGUAACGCGUGAGUAACUGCCCCCCUCUCUGGGAUAACAGUUGGAAACGGCUGCUAAUACCGGAUAGAUGGGGAUGACUCGCGUCCUAUCAGCUUGUUGGUGGGGUAGUGGCCUACCAAGGCGACGACCGGUAGCCGGCCUGAGAGGGCGACCGGCCACAUAGGGCUGGGGUACGGGCCAAACUCCUACGGGAGGCAGCAGUGGGGAAUAUUGCACAAUGGGGGAAACCCUGAUGCAGAGACGCGCGUGCGGGAUGACGGUCUUCGGGGUGUGAACCGCUUUGAGCCAUGACGCGGUAGUGGCAGAAGAAGCACCGGCUAACUACGUGCCAGCAGCCGCGGAAAUUC
rnacentral:rRNA from 1 species